CCUACGGGUGGCUGCAGUCGAGAAUCAUUCACAAUGGGGGAAACCCUGAUGGUGCGACGCCGCGUGGGGGAAUGAAGUUCUUCGGAUUGUAAACCCCUGUCAUGUGGGAGCAAAUUAAAAAGAUAGUACCACAAGAGGAAGAGACGGCUAACUCUGUGCCAGCAACCGCGGUAAUACAGAGGUCUCAAGCGUUGUUCGGCAUCACUGGGCUUAAAGCGUUCGUAGGCUGUUUUGUAAGUCGUGUGGGAAAGGCCCGGGCUCAACCCGCGGACGGCACUUGAUACUGCGAGACUAGAGUGAUGGAGGGGGAGCCGGAAUUCGCGGUGUAGCAGUGAAAUGCGUAGAUAUCGAGAGGAACACUCGUGGCGAAGGCGGGUGCCCGGACAUUAACUGACGCUGAGGCACGAAGGCCAGGGGAGCGAAAGGGAUUAGAUACCCCAGUAGUC
rnacentral:rRNA from 1 species